rfam:Gossypium raimondii Chr04_contig_1400, whole genome shotgun sequence.
UGUUAAAAGUUUUAUUCAUUUUUAUUGAUAAGAAUCGACGUUAUUGACAAAAUAACCAGACAAUUACACGUGGUAUGCCAAGUAUGCCUCAUACUAAUAUACAGAGACAAAUUUAUAACAAUAGAAAUAGAUGUAAUUUUUGUGG